rnacentral:rRNA from 1 species
AUGGUCUGGAAGAAGGAGGUUAGGAUCUACUCCCGGACUACCACCCUCGAUUUCAUUGACGUUUCAGUAGAAGAGGCAAAUGGGGAUCUCUGGAGAUUGACAGGGAUAUAUGGUGAACCCAACUGGGAGCACAAAGACCGUACGUAUGGCAUUUUAAGGGAUCUGCAUGCCCAAUCAAGUCUGCCCUGGUUGGUGAUUGGAGGCUUUAACGAGAUUCUAUUUUCUCAUGAGAAAGAUGGGGGUGCCCCACGUCAGCAAACACGCAUGCAAGCAUUCGAGGAUGCUCUCUCAGAUUGUUCUUUGGAGGAUAUUGGCUAUACAGGGGAUAGCUUCACCUGGUUUCGCGGAGGGCUGCGAGAGAGCCUGGACCGUGCGGUUUCAAAUUCAGAUUGGAUGCUUUUACAUCCUUUUGCUGGACUGAAUAAUCUCGAGAUGGGUAAAUCAGAUCAUCGGCCAAUAUGUUUAGAUACAAAAUAUCUAGCGGGUGUAACUGACAACGGCAAUGCUCGUACAAAGAAAUUUGAGGCAAGAUGGUUAGCAGAAGAGACGGUAGAGGAGAUCGUCAAAACAGCAUGGCAGAAAGCUUUGCACCAAGGCUUAUGUCCGACCGUGAGUUCAAAGUUAGAUUCAGUUCACAAUGACUUGCAUCGCUGGGAUCAACAAGCACUUAAAGAGCCUCGCCGACGGCUUCGAGAGGCACAGAAAGAACUAGAUGUUCUCAUGAGACAAACUCCUACAGAAGAGGUGAGAAUGAAACAGAAGGAAUUAUCAGUUUAUGUGGAAAACCUGCUCGAACAAGACGAGGUGUAUUGGGCACAGAGGGGAAGAGUCAGUUAG